UCCGAUAUGGUGUAGUGGCCAACAUGAUGCCCUCUCAUCUCACUGGGAGGUUAGGCAUAGCCCCGAGUUCGAUUCUCGGUUUCGGAA
rnacentral:tRNA from 1 species